rnacentral:rRNA from 1 species
UACAGAGGUCCCAAGCGUUGUUCGGAUUCACUGGGCGUAAAGGGCGCGUAGGCGGUGCGGUAAGUCACCUGUGAAACCUCUAGGCUUAACCUAGAGCCUGCAGGCGAAACUGCCGUGCUUGAGGGUGGGAGAGGUGCGUGGAAUUCCCGGUGUAGCGGUGAAAUGCGUAGAUAUCUGGAGGAAUACCGGUGGCGAAGGCGGCAUCCUGGACCGACAUUGACGCUGAUGAGCGAAAGCUAGGGGAGCAAACGGG